rnacentral:lncRNA from 10 species
CCAAGAAAUGAAGGAAAAUUGACUUCCCCUUCCCAAGCCGUCACCAAACCAAAGGAUAAAAUAAACUGCUGUGGCUUUGAAUGUAGAGUUGAGUAGAUGCUCUUGAAUGAUUGUUUCCACCUCAUUCUUCAAUGAUAGUUAAUGAGGGCACAGACCACUAAUAAGCAGUGGAAGCAGCUUCUAGGCUAAGCUUAAAUUGGGCCUUCAAAUCUAAUCAAAAUUAGUCACUGCUGAGAAGAAACCAAAUGUGGUGUGUCCAUUCGGAUGUGGAGUUUGGAGAGGCCCUCCUUGUUUUCCAGGCUGUGAGCCAUGGGAAGCGUGUCAACCAUGUCAAACCAAAGGAUCAAGAAAUUGAAGAUUCCGUUCACUUGCCUUGGAGUUUGAGGACAUCACAACUAUUUCUAAGUAAGAAGCCACCGUCUUCCUGGCUCGAGAGUCAGAGAAUGGAGUUUGAAGCUACCAAAGCAGCUAAAAAGUGAAGAAGGGAGUGAAGGGAAAUCCAAGAAACUGGAUCACAGAGAAAUGCCCCAUAAACUGAAUCUGAAGAUCAAAAGCGCACAUCACAUACCAGAGAAAACUGACACAAAUUCAUCUAUACAAAGAUAUAUAAUGAUUAAGUUAUUGAACUUUACGGCAUCUAGGCAGAAAAAUUAAGUCACCUAUCAUUCCUAUCAUCAUUUCUCUCUAUCAUGUAAUGUCAUAAUCUGCACAUAAACUCCACUGAAAUCUUUAACUGACCCUGGACCACACAUAAAGCAGGGAAACUCCAAGGACAAAUUAACAGUAAUAGUAAUAUAGUUUGAAUGUUUGUCCCCUUCAAAUCUCACGGAGAUAUUAUCCCUAAUGUUGGAGGUGGGGCCUAGUGGGAGGUGUCUGUGUUUGGGUCAUGGGGGUAGAUCUCUCAGGAAUUGCUUGGUGCUGUCCUCAGAGUAAUGAAUGAGUUCUCACUCUAUCAGUUACUGUGAAAUCUGAUUGUUAAAAAGAGCCUGGCACCUUCUCCCCUCUCUCUUGUGCCUUCUCUCACCAUGCAACAUGCCUAUUCCCCCUUCACCUUUUGCCAUGAGUAAAAGCUGCCUGAGGCCUUACAAGAAGCUGAGCAGAUGCUGGUCCCAUGCUUGUACAGCCUGCAGAACCUCUUUUCUUUGUAAAGUAUACAGUCUCUGGUGUUUAUUGAUAGCAAUGCAAAACAAAAUAACGCAAAUAAGAUAUCAAGAAAAGCGCCAAAUAUUUGUUCAUGUUAAUGCAUGCAAAAUUUUACUUAAACCAUAAUUCUCACUCUAAGAAAAGCAGUGAAGACACAGUUCUGUCCACUACUGUAAACAUCGUAACUACAAUGCAAAAUCUUAAAUGACUACACACCACCAUAUACCUGGCAUCUUGAAGUGUGUGUUUAA